rnacentral:rRNA from 1 species
UAAUACGGAGGGUGCAAGCGUUAAUCGGAAUUACUGGGCGUAAAGCGCACGCAGGCGGUCUGUUAAGUCAGAUGUGAAAUCCCCGGGCUUAACCUGGGAACUGCAUUUGAAACUGGCAGGCUUGAGUCUUGUAGGGGGGGGUAGAAUUCCAGGUGUAGCGGUGAAAUGCGUAGAGAUCUGGAGGAAUACCGGUGGCGAAGGCGGCCCCCUGGACAAAGACUGACGCUCAGGUGCGAAAGCGUGGGGAGCAAACAGGA